ACCCAGAACCACCGCACCCCACCGUAUCUCCCCUCCCUGCUCUUCCCCCUCACGCACACCUCUGCCUCCCUCUUUCUUCGCCUCUGCCGCACCACCCAGCCAUGAAACCACCACACCCCGGCCACCGCACCACCUUCUAUACUCACCUUCGCCUCACAAAACUCGGCGAGCUGCUGCUGCGCCGCCCAGGCUUGACCAGAAACGCCCCUCCCCUGUUUUUCCCCUGUUUUGUCGACCACCCCUUCCUUUCCUUGCUGUUCCGCCACCACUCAAACACCACCACAGUCGCAUCUACGGCUCGUUUCCGUGCAGCGGCGCCGUCCAAACCUUCAGCCACCACCACCCCCCCUCUGUCCUCUUCGUUCUCCCCUGUCCCUCGUUGAUCCCCUGCGCGCUGCGCUUUCAAUUCCAGGAACCAAGUUUCAAUUGAAACUUUGGUUUCCAAAUUCAUUUAAGCUUUUAUUUGGGCUUCGGGAAUUUGGACUCGGAGCUCAGGAAGAACGGCCCAUCGAACAAGAAGUAUAAACUACGGUUGAGGUCGUGCACGUACCGCCGUACCGCGGGACACCCAACAAGGGAGAGUGCUCAUUGAGGGUUACCGCAAGCUAAAAGAGAAACUAUUUAGGUACGGGCGUAUGUCCAACAAGGGAGGGUGCUCCUUGAGGACUAUCGCAAGGUGGGAGACGUCCCGCAAGGCUAACUUGUCAGUUACCAAGUAAAAUGAAUGUUUAUGAAAGAUAAUGGGAACUAUUAAAGUUUCAAGUUAUAAUGAUGUUUUAUUAUGAUGCUUUUAUGAAAGUGAUUUACUA